CCCUUAGAUGUUCUGGGCCGCACGCGCGCCACACUGAUGCAUUCAACAAGCCUAGCCUUGACCGAGAGGUCCGGGUAAUCUUUGAAACUGCAUCGUGAUGGGGCUAGAUUAUUGCAAUUAUUAAUCUUCAACGAGGAAUGCCUAGUAAGCGUGAUUCAUCAAAUCGCGUUGAUUACGUCCCUGCCCUUUGUACACACCGCCCGUCGCUCCUACCGAUUGAAUGUGUUGGUGAGGAGCUCGGAUUGGCAGCAGUUGGUGGUUCGCCACCGGCUAUUGCUGAGAAGUCCUCCAAACCGCCCCAUUUAGAGGAAGGAGAANUCGUANCA
rnacentral:rRNA from 1 species